rnacentral:sRNA from 1 species
UGCAUAAUAAUGUCACGGGAAUAGAGUC